rnacentral:lncRNA from 1 species
AAGAAUUGAAGAAGUUGGAUCUAAGUUGGACUAAAAUUGAGGAAGUCCCUGAAGGAAUGGAUAUGCUGAUAAAGCUAAGAUAUCUUGAUCUUAGAGUGCACACUCUGAAAGAGAUACCCGCUGGACUUUUACCAAAACUCGUUCACCUUCAACACUUGGGUUUUUAUGAGAACAAUGAAAAAACAAGUCUAAAAGCAGAGGAGUUGGAACCAUUGAUGAAGUUGGAAUGCUUUACCGGACGUUUCGAAGAUAUCAAUGAAUUCAAUAAGUUCAUCUCCUCAAUGAAACUAAGUAAGAAAAAUCUCAUCAAGUACCAUUUACAGGUGGGCUCAUCUUUUAUGCUUGCUACAAGAGAUAAAACAGUAACAAUUGGAGGAGUCCAGAAUUGGGAAGGUGAGUCAAUUAUGCACCCAAUUGAAAUUCAACAGUUGAAUAUUUCAAGUUGCAACUAUUUGAGAAACUUAGUCGAUGAUAAUUCUUCCUUCAAAAAAGUGAUUGGCUUGAGGGUUUGGGUUUGUGAAGGGAUAGAGUGUGUUGUUUCCCUGUCCUCUUUUGCCUCUUCUUCCACUCAUCCAUUUCAAAGCCUCGAGGUGUUAGAUCUUGGAGAUCUGCCAAAGUUGAGUGCCCUUAUUAUGAAAGAUGCAGGAAUUGGUUCAGCAACAACAUCAACAUCGGCUCCGUCUGCCACCUUUUCCCAUCUUAAGGAAAUUAGGAUAUACAAAUGCCCAGGUAUGAAGACGUUGCUUCCACAUUGGUUGCUUCCAAACCUCCAAAGCCUGGAAGAAAUACAUGUGGGUGCUUGUAGUCAGCUAGUAGAAAUAUUGGGAGCAGCAACAUCAAAAGUUGAAGAAAAAGAGAGUGAUGCAUUAAUCAAAUUCCAUCUUUCCAAAUUGAGAGUAUUGAGACUAAAUAAGUUACCAAAUUUGAAGAGCAUAUGCAGCAAAAGUGGAGUGAUGGUUUGUGAUUCUCUCCAAGUUAUCAAAGUUUUUGGAGAUUGUGAUAAACUGAAGAGAAUUCCUCCAUUUGUUCCCCUUGUUGGCAAUGGGCAGCCAUUUGUAUAUGCUCCACCUUCUCUUACAAUCACGUCAGACACAGAAUGGUGGGAAUCGUUGGAGUGGGAUGAUCAUCCAAACUUUAAAAAUGUUCUUCAACCCCUUUGGAAGCUUUUAAGGUAUCAACCAUUUAUAGUUUAGUUUAUUCGAUUUAUUUUAUAAAUCUAAUUUCUCCAUUUUAAUACCAUUUCAUUAAUCCAACUUCUCCAAGUUAUCCAACUUAUCCAACUUAUCCAAGAUGCUGGAGACUGUUAUAAACUGAAGAGAAUUCCUCCAUUUGUUCCCCUUGUUGGCAAUGGGCAGCCAUUUGCAUAUGCUCCACCUUCUCUUACCAUCGGGUCAGAGACAGAAUGGUGGGAAUGGUUGGAGUGGGAUGACCAUCCAAACUUUAAAAAUGUUCUACAAUCCUUUGGAAGCUUUUAAGGUAUAUGAACCAUUUAUAGUUUAGUUUAUUUUAUUUAUUUUAUAAAUCUAAUUCCUCCAUUUUAAUACGAUUUCAUGUUAUAUUUUAUUUAUGUUUGAAGAUGAUGAGGCCUCCAUUGGUGCCAAAGAAGUAGAAGAGAGUAGCAGGGCGGAGGAUGGUGCAAAAGAGAGGAUAAAAAAGGUGGGAAUAAAAGGAAUGAUGGAUGAGGAAUUGAGCAGCCACCAUAAUAAUGGACUCCUUUUCCAUUGAAUCAAAUAUUAUUAUGUUCUAUUAUUUAGAAAAUCUUUAUAUGUUCUUAAACAGAGAUGUUUUUAAAAUUAUUUGUCUUUAAAAUUAUUAAACUUAUUUAUUAUUCUUCUAUCAAUCAUUUAUGCAUUUUUUUACUAAUGAUUCUAAUAAAAGUUUUAACAUUCAAAAGCAUAUAAGUUGAAAUAAAUUUUUUCAAUUUUAAAAUAUGCAACUUAAAAAGGUACUCCAUUAUUUUCUUAAAAUAAUAUCAAAUUAUGACUACCUUUAAAGUAUAAUUGAGUGGAUAAAUCACACCGUUGGUCAUUUUAAACUAACAUUAUUUCUAUUUUGGUCACUCUAUAAUUGCUCGAAUUAGUUGGUCAUUUUAAACUAACAUUAUUUCUAUUUUGGUCACUCCAUAAUUGCUCGAAUUAGUCAAUGACAUUGACAUUUUUUUAUUUUGGACUAAAGCUAGGGACUUUUAUGUAAUUAGCCCAAAACAUUUGUUUUUGUUUAUUUUGCAACAUAAGAACCACAUGUCACCACUCAUCCCUUGCUUUCCAUUGCUCCUCACUGCACAAUAAGAGCCACGUUUCAUCACAAUGGUGUACAAAGAGUGUUGGCUGUGUUUUGACUAUCGUACAAAUUAGUGUAGAAAUACAACUGAACAAACUUUCGAGUGGAUACUAUUGGGAAAUUGUAGGUAAAGUUGGAGCGAAAAACACAACCACGUCUCUUUUAUGGAAAAUGGCCUGAAAAAAGCCUAAUAAACCCAGUUGUGUAUUCAACAAAUGGGUUUCAACCCUCCUUUCCAGCCACUCCCACCGCUGAUAAAUUGAAAUUAUUUGUAAAUUUUAAAAGUUAAUCUUUUAAAAUUAUAAUUAAAUCGAUAUAAUAUGUAAAAGUUGAGAAAUAAAUUUAUUAUUAUAUUAAUUUUUUAACUAAUAUAUCAUCCUCUCAUUAGAGAGGUUUAAGGCACUUAAAGGAAAUAGAUAAAAAAAUAUCUCGAUUAAUUGAGUGAUCAAACUACAAAAAUUAAUAAUUGAAUGAUGAAAAGGAAAAGAGAUAAUGACUAGAUGUAAUUUACCCAUAUUUUUAAAAAGCGUAUAAAAAAUACAGAGGAAUGGGCUGGUACUUUGAAUGGUCCAAUUAGAGUAGCAAUUGGUGGCUCCGAUGCUAAUUUAAUUUCUACACCAUAACAUGGAAUUUUGCACCAAAGCUGAUCCCACGGUCAUCUCAAAAUAAUGCUCAUCAUAUUUUAAUUUAUCACACUUGGAAUUACAGACGCUGCACUUUCAUAAGAUAAAUUUUUAAGAAUUUGGAAUGUUAUCAUUAAGUAACUAAAUUUAAGUAAAUUAAAAUAUUUAAUAUAAAAAUUAUAAAAUUAUAAUGUCAAAAAUUUGUGAGAAGUGUAUUACAAUUAUGGGAUAUUUUUAAUCUUUUUGAGAUAAAAUUGUUCUUUCAAUAUGAUCCCAUUUUUCUCAUGGUAACUAUGUGAUCCAUGACAGUGUUUACUUCUCAUUUAUCAUGUAAUGCUGAUGAGAGAAUAUAAUUUACCUUUUAGUUGAGCUAUGAAUUUCAUUGUUGAUGAAUGAUGCUACAUACUAUAAAGGUCAUAUACCUAAUGCACCAACUUUCAGUUCCUUAUCUAUUUAAACUCAGACUUUCGUUUACAUCAAAGUAUACGAAUCACACAUACAUAGUCCAUCAUCUACUCAGGAUUAAAGUAUGUCACACCAUGAACGUCACAAAUGAAUAAAUCUACAAGUGAGUUACAUCUAUGUCUCUAUUUUCUAAGACUCAAUCUCUCCAGUACCGAAGAUAAAGUAUUUCCUUAAUUGGAUUGGAUAGAUAACAUGUUAUCAUUUCAAUCAGUUUGCUCUUUUUUUAUUAGACUAAGGACAUUUUUAGAUUAUCUAUUAAUAUAAAUUGUUUUUCCAUAUUAUGAUCCAACCAUGUAAUACCGUUUGGUAUUAGUUAAAUGUUAGAUAAUUAUUGGGUCAAUAUUUGUUUUGCGUGCAAAAAUCAUAAAGAAUAAUAUACAAAGGAUAUUAAUGUAAUGAAUGAAUAUUUUAUUAAAUCAAUUUGUUCAAAAAAUAUAAGUAUAUAUUGACGAAAAUAUUAAAAUAAAGACACUAGAUCUAACAGUCUCCCAUUUGACCUAGAGAAGUAGAUAAGUCAUAUUUCGAAUUCCCAUAUUUUCUACACGUUUCUCAAAACUCCUAGCCACCAAAGUCUUGGUCAAUGGAUCCGUAAGGUUGUCCUCUUAUAUGACUUUGACUACAUCCACUAUUUCAUUUGUUAUUGCCUCCUUUAUGAUAUGAUACUUUCUAUCAAUAUGUUUUGUCCUUUUGUGGUUUCCAGUUUCCUUGGUGUUAGCUAUUGUCGCACUAUUAUCACAAUACAGUGUGAUAAUUUUUUCCAUACCAUGAACAACUUCAAGACUCGUAAGGAAUUUCCAAAGUCAUAUUACUUAUUUUCUUGCCCCAAAAGCAACCACAUAUUUGGCCUUCAUAGUGGAUUCUAUAGUGUAACCCUAUUUGACACUUCUCCACACUAUGAACCCAUCGCCUAGGACAAAGUUAUAAACCGAUUUGGAUUUGCUAAAAUCUCGAACACAUUUGGAAGUCAAGAUCGAUAUAACAAAUAAGAGUGAGAUCUCUUCCAAAACAUACAAGCAUAUAAUUCAUCAUUAUUCGUAAAUACUUGAGUAUAUGCUUUAUUAAUUGCCUGUGUCUUGAGUUGGGAUUCACCUAAUAUCAACUCACCACCUAUUAUGAAAAAAAUAUCUAGACGUGUGUGUCACAAUAUACAUGAGGCUUCCUAUUGCCAAAGCAUAAAUAACAUUUCUCAUGUAUUCUCUUUCUUAAAGAGAGAUGAAAACUUGAUAUAGAAGAUUGAGAUCUCUUCUUGGAAUUUGUCGCUGCAAAACAUUCCAUUAUCUUAUCUAUGAAUGAAACUUUUGAUAAAGUUAUCACUUUGUUCUUUCAAUCCCUUAAUAUUCAAAUGCCCAGAACAGAGUUAGUUUCUCCCAAAUCCUUCAUUCUAAAUUGUUGGGUUAACCAUAAUUUAACCAAUGACAAUGUCUCUACAUAAUUCCCAAUGAAUAAAAUAUCUUUGACAUAUAAAAUAAGAAAUAUCACCUUUCCAUCCUUAAUACUUUUAUAAAUAAUAGGUUGAUCAAUAUUUUUCUCAAAUCUUAAAGUUUUGAUGGCUUGAUCAAAUCUUUGAUUCUUUAAGCGGGAUGCUUGCUUAUGUUAGUUGACAACCAUGAUUUUAAUAACCUUAAUAGUUAAUAAUUAAGGAUAACAAUAAUUUUUAAAGAUUCAAUUGAUAUUAUUUCAUUAUUUAUCAUAACAAUUUCUUUAUAUAAACAUGAACAUAUUUUAGAAUUAUGAAUGAAAUUGAGUGAUUAUUUCCUCAACAUUACAUAGAAUCUUUCUCUAAUUCUGAACAUGGUAUCAGAUUUAGGUUUGAUUUAGGGAAUUUUUUUUUCAAUUUUUUUUUGAAACCCUAGAACCAAAAAAUCUCAUCAAGUAUCGAUUACAGGUGGGCUCAACUGAUUGGCGUUCUACUGUAAAUUAUAAAGAAGAUAAAGUUUUAUGACUUGUAGAAGUGGGAAUUUUUAGAACCAAGUUAAUUAUGCUCCUGAUGGAGAUUCAGGAGUUACACAUUUCGUACUGCCACAAUUUGAGAAGCUUCAGCGAUGAUGUUUUUUCCUUCAAAAAUUCUAGUGACUUGAAGGUUUGUACAAUUGAGCAUUGUGAUGGGAUAUAAUGUGGUGUUGUUUUUUUCCUCUUCUUCCUCUCAUCCACUUCAGAGCCUUAGGUGUUGUUUCUUUACAAAUUGUCGACGUUGAGUGCCCUUAUCAAAGUUAACAGAUUUGGUUCAGCAACAACAUCAAUAUUGGCUUCGUCUGCUACCUUUUCCUAUUUUAAGAAAACUCACUUACCCAACUGCUUCACUAUGAUGAUGUUGCUUCCAUAUUGGUUGCUUCCCAACCUCCAAAAUCUACAACUAAUAAAAGUGAGAGGUUGUGAGCUAACAGAUACAUUGGGAGGACCAACAUCAAAACAUAAAGAAAAAAAGAAGUGAUGGAUUAAUCAAAUUCCAUCUUUCUUAAUUGAAAAAGUUGGUAUUGCAAGAGUUGCUAGAACUAACAAGCAUCUGCAAUAAAAGUGGGGUAUUGAAGAGCAUCUGCCGUAAGUUAGAAUUCCUUCAUUUGCUCCCCUUGUUGCAAAUGGACAGCCAUAUGCAUAUGCUUCACCUUCUCUGAAGCUUGAAUCAAUUUCAACAUGGUGGGAAUUGUUGGAGUGGGAUAAUCGUCCAAACUCUAAGAAUGUUAUUCAACCCCAUUGGCAUAAAUUGUGUAAUGUCAACAUUUUUAUUUAUUUGUACUUUAUAAUCUCAUUUCUCUAUUUUAAUGCAAAUUCUUGUAUUGUUUUAAGGUGGUGAUGAGAAAGUUGCUCCAUUGCAGCUUCAUUUGGAUACCUCUCAAGUUGUUUAGGAUGGAGAUGGCGGAAAACGUGGGGGAUAGUGUUGAGGACACCUUGAAUGGUGCUUAAGGGAGGGCCUGCUUUACCGUGCCGGGAGGGUCUUAAUUGUUGGAUCUACAAAAUUCAAGGGAGAAGUGCUAUCAUAGUACAUAUGAACAAUUAUAAAGCUCAUCUUGGGUACGGAGACUCGAAUCGCCAACUUAAAGCUUAUACUGCUUAGCUGCAUCCAUAAUACCACGUGGGCUAUUUACCAAACACCGGCUAUCGGCAAAGUAUGAGAGACAAAACCCUCACCGGGGAUAAUACCUUUGGUUGUUGAGAGAUUGAUUGACUACCCAACAGACGACACUUUAAAAGCUUCUCCCAAAGACUUUGACCUCUCUAAAAAUAUGUUUCAACCCAAGUAACUUAUGAUCCUAAGUGUCCCGAAAAAUAUUUUAUUCCUUGAUAUUCCUAAACCAUAGUUAAUACGGAUGGAACCAUUCAUCUGAUCGCUAUUAGCUUCAACAAUCUGCUCUGGUGGCAUCCACCAUUAAUAAUUUAAUGUUGCAGCAAAUAUGACUCCCAGGUUUGGUUCAUUUUGUCUUGUUUUUUUCUUUGCACUCAAUGUCUUAGAUCUCCAAAACACAUCAAGGUAGGCCCUGGAGGAGUAUAAAAAUUUUUGAAUCCAUGGCAACGUGAAACAACUUGACCUUUAACCUAUAAGAGCUAUCAAAACGUUUAGCCUAAAAAUAAACCAUGAGACUGUUUAUUGCUUUAAUCAUUUAAGUUUCAAUUGGUUCAGAAUUUUGAUUAAUUCUUUUGUUUCUCAAAUUCAUGUGGAUAUCAUUUAUAUAAUAUAUACUCAACACGAGUAUAUUUAAUAAAUCAUUCUUAUGUCCUGCUUUCCCAUAUUUUCAAGUCACUUGCAACAAUUUUUUUUACUCUAACUUAGGCUUCACACCAAACUAAACUAAUUGAUUUGAAACCUAUUUGGAAUAAUUGGUUACAUUAUUACUUGAACAAAUAACGUUUUUAAUGUCUUUAUUUUAUUUUGGCCCUUAAUUUUUUUUUUGUGUUUUAUCCCAACUUUUUAGAAUUUUUUUGUAAGUGACUUGAAAGGGAGUACUCUUUUUUCUCAUUUUAAUCUCACAUGGGCUAGCCGAUGGGUUAUACGUACAAGGCUAAAAUGAUUGUUUUAAAAAUUUUAUAUGUUUAAUUUUUAGAGUUAGAAUUAAAUUCACAAAUUUUGUAAAUUUUGAGGUCAAAUUUGUUGAAAUUUUUAUAUUUAGGAUCAAAUUGAUCAAAUGUGUAAACAUUAGAGGGCUAAUUUUGUUACUAGACCAAUAAAAAAGGCCACAUUAGUUUAGAGUGACUAAAAUAUUUAAUUUUAAAAAGUUUAGUGACUAAAUCAAAAAAAAAAAUAAUAGUUGAGUGACCGAAAUAGAAUAAAAAGCGUAGUUGGACAACCAUUUUUACAGUUUACGCAUAAAAAAUAGUUUUCAAGAUGUCCACGUAAUCUUUUAAUAGAUAAAAUUUAAUGGAGAAACUAAUUUACACGUUUUAAAAUGAAUAAAUGUCAAUUUACUCGUUUUUUCAAUAAAGAAAUGGAAAAGCAAUCCGCCCUAAGCGCAUCAACCUUCCUAAUACUUUUACCUUUGAGAUCCCUUAUAUUGUUCUGACAUUCAAGUAUGCAAAUCCAACUAUUUCCCCCUUUUAGGAUUUCUUAAAAUUUGUUUCCCACAUUCAAGGAUGCAACUGUAAACAUUUCCCCUCUUAGGAUCCCUAAAAUUUAUUUCCCCUUUAAAUAAACAAUUUCUUAUUCUUCCCUAAAAAAUAACUUGAUUUAUUUUAAAAUAUAUAUACUUCAAAAAGUAACCUUCUAAAAUAUUUAUUUUUAAAAUAUUAUAAUUAAUAUAUAUAUAUAAAAUUACAUUAUAAACUUAUUUUGAUAUGAUGUUGAAUCAAAUAUUAUCAUGAUCCUUUACCACUUUCAACAAUAGUAUUUUAUUUCGUAAAUUUUAUGUUAAGUAAACUUCAAAUUUUAUCAAAAAACAUAUAUAUGGUCCAAUUUUAGUAUGUGUUUAGAUAUGAUAGAUUGAUUGGAUGAAAGUUUAAUUACUAUUGUAAUAAUUGCACCCUCUUGUAAUUACAAAGAAUUAUAAUUUUCUAGACAUAUUUGGGUGACAGAGUGUAAUUACAUAUGAGAUAUUACAACGUCUAAAUGAAUAACAAAAAUUAAAAUAAAAUAAUCAUAUACAAUAUGUUAUUCCAAGGUAGUUGAUAAUACGAUUAAAUACCAAGGAAAAAUAAAUUUCAUAUGCAAUUUUGUCUAAUCUCUCUAGUAUUUAUUGUUGGGUUACAGGGACAAGCCAAAAGUUUUAUCUUUGUGAGGCCAAUUAAAUUACAAACCUUUAAAUGAGUCAAAUUACAAUUUUAUCUUUGUUAAUGCUUGUUAUUUUAGAAAGGUAAAGGGUUUAAACUGGAAUUUUUUCCAUCUUUGGAGGGCCAAACUGCAUUUUACCACUAAACUAACUUAUAAUUUUAAAAAUUUCAAGGGACUAAAAUGACAGUUUUUUAUUUUAAGGGGAUAGGGCCUCUACCUAACCCCCCCUUGGCACUAUCCCUAUGGGGUUAUUUGAUCUUUUAACAUUUAACAUAUACUCUAUUGCUCUUUUUCAUCAACAAUUGGUCGCUGAGUUUAUUGUCAUGUAAAUCUGAAUUCGUAUUUGUGUCAUUAAGAUUAUAACGAUCUUAUUCUAUUUACUUUUUAAUGGAUCGUCUCAAUUCCACCUACAAAUGAGGUUAUGAGAUAUGCAACAUGCUAAUGUAAUCCAACCUUAUUUUUUUAUACUAUAUCGAAUCAAUGUUAUUAAUAUAAAAAUCUUUUUUAGAAUAAUAUUAUAUCUCUACUUCAACUUGGACCCAGUUGGACCCUCCAAUGGGCCACUCAAGGCUUAUUAAGUAACAUAAUUAGGUAAGAAUCUUCACUCAGUUAUAAAUGCCCAAAGGUACCAACAUUAUUAUAGUGGUCCUCUCUAGACUCAAAGUUUGAAAUAUGCUAAACAUUCAUAUUGAGGCCCUCUACUUGACUGAUUCUUGGUCCUAGAAUGGGUGAAUCGGUCUUCCUCGACACCACCCCCUCCUCCUUCUCCACUCCCAUUAAUACUGUGUAUCAACAAUGAUAGAGGUGACGGUGGAUCGAACAUGCGCAAAACCCUAGAAAUUCACCCUCUCAAUAUACAAAGAAAAAAAAACCAAAUUUUAGGUUCAAAGAGCUUGUAUUUGUUGCCAAAAGAUUUGGAGAUUGAAAAAUACAUAGCUUUUGACACGAUUCAUGGUAGUUGGAUAUUUGUGGGCAAUCUAUUUUUAUUUCGGUAGUAUAUGGUAUGUGCUUGCAUUUUUCUUUUUCUUUUCGGUUGUGGUGCAUUGGUCUUUGAGUGGGGUUUUAGAAUAGAUAAUUUUCUCUGUGUACGAAUUUUAGUGGAAUUUGGGGUUUGAUUCUUUGAUCAUGGUUUUCCUGUUGUGAUAGUUGAUGGGGUUCAAGUGUAUUGUUGCAUGGUAAGAAUUUCAUGAUGUUUGCUUGUGGUUCGUCUCUUGUUUUAUUAUAAUUCACCGGUUUACUUUGUCAUUCAAGGGCUGGAUCCGAGGUUGUUUCAUUGAUUGAACUUCUUGCUGAUUCUUAGAGAGCUCGUAUGUUUGUAUAACAAAUGUAUUGCCUCUAUAGUACAUAAAAUAAAAGCAUAAUAGGGGGAUGUUAGACAUGGUCAUGCUGAUUCCACUCAAUUAUACAUUAAAGUAGAACAUGUCCUAAAUACACAAACAUAACGUAUGUUAUGUACUUGCUAAAACAUGUAUAAAUGUAGAAUAUCCUGAAAAUAGAAAUUACAAGAGUUGCCAGGUUCGGAAGAUAGGGAAUAAUGAGCUUCUUUCUGAUAACAUGCUGUUUGACUUCAACAUAAGUUAGUGUGGCUUGCAAAUAAUGCACCAAACAUGUGUUAAAAUUGCUUAUUGCUUUUAAUGUGAUUCACCACUAUUCUAUUGUACAUGCAAAUGCAAAAUAUGGUUUGCUCAUUACUUGUUCAUAGCUUCUCGGCUAACCUUUACAACCAUCAUUAAUUUUUUUUUAAUUUCCUUUUUAUAUUGUUGGCUUUUAUAUUACUGAAUGUUUCACUGAAUGUCAAAUGUUAGACUAAGUUAUAAUUCGAAGUUUUUGUUAUUUUGUGUGUGCUUUAAAUAUGUUUGGCUCAUUUUCUCCAGUAUGAUUGUUAGUCUAGAAUAAUUAAAUCUCUGGAAGCUAUGCUUGUUUAUGCAUCUCACUGCAACCAAUAUCACUGCAGUUUAAAUUACCUAUAGCUUGUGUUUUUUUGGUCAUCUACAGCCUUUGGUGACUAUCAAGUAAGACAUGAUACACAAUAACAUUAUUGCAACUCUUUAUCCCAGAGGUGUAAUCCCCUGUGUAUGUAUGUAUAUCAGCAGAGUGCAACACCCAUGCAUGUGUAUGUUUAUUAUAAAAAAGAAAGAUGGUGGUGAAUUAGAGGGACCUGCGAAGGUUCCCACUAGGUUUCUUGCAUAUGUGUUAUUAACAAUAAGAAAAUGAAUGGAAGGGGGAACCCUCCCACGGGCAUAGCCCUGCCUAUGUGUAUAUGUAUAUAUAUAUUAUUUUAUUUAAAAGAGAGAGAAUGAUGAUUGAAAGCUUUCCAUGGACAAUUACACUUCACGAACAGUAAUUACUCGACAUCUUUGCUUUUACACUAACAGGCGAUUAUACCUCCGUAGAUAGUAAACACUCGGUAUGGUUAUUUGUACUUAUCUAUACAUGAAAAUCUAUACGAGUUUGAGAAAGGGAACCUAUGAGGGGUUCCCACGAGUGGUUCUACCACCUUGCAUAUAUGUAUAGUCAUGUGGUAUAUAUGUUACACAAAGGGAACCCACGAAAGACUCCUACGGAUGAUUACUUGUUGUCUACAUUUAUGUAAUUCUACUUCCAUUAUGUAAACCCAAGUCGAGUAAACUUGGUCGAAGGUUGUGAUUUGACGUGGCAAGGCCUUACACUCCACGUAAUUCUGGCCUGCGAGAGCCACGAUAGUGUGAUCGACCUGUGAUUCUUACUGUAAGUCUCCCCCCAUGUGUUUAGGAGCAGGAUCUAUCAUAAGCCUUCCGCUCUAAGUGGAGAAAGCACCACCAUUUUUCCAUAAGUCUCCCCCCUUGCAUAUUGGAGCAGAGCCUUUAUUACCACUUUUCGUAAGCCUCCCUUAAUGUGUCUUGGAGUAGGACAUUCGCGCCCUUCUGUGAACCCUUUGGGCUCUUGAUGGAGGUAAGACAUAUCUUCUACAUUUCAGCCCGUUUGUGAACUCUUUGGGCUCUCGACAGAGGUGAGGCAUAUCUUUUACAUUCGGGCCCCUCCAUGAACCCUAUAAUGACUCAAUUUUCAAUGGUGUCAAAAAAUUUGAUUUUAGAACCUCAUUUCUAUAAACUGAGUUCAUAACUAUUAAAUAUGGAUAUUUACAGAGUUAGUAUAUAGAUGUAUUGCAAUUUAUUAAAUAAUUUAGUUGAAAAUGUGGUUAAUUAAGGCCUAGAGGCUAAAUUGUAAAAAGUUAAAUCACUAUAGAGUUUUAAUUUGAAAAAGGCUUAGGGACUUAGAUAAAAAUUAUCCAAAGGACUAAAAUGGCUAAUAGACGAAUUUUAAAUAGAUAAUAGUGGGAUGUGAUCUUGAAUGUCAUUAGAUAAUAUUAAUUAAAUAUUAAUGUUAAUUAAACACGAUUAAAGUAAUUAAUUAAGCUUAAUUAUAAGCUAACCUAGCUAUAUAAACCAAAUUUAGUGGAGGGAGAGAUGAAUAUUCAUCUUCUCCAACUAGCCAAAGGAGUAAAGCCAAGUAGAAACCCCAUUGUUGAGACCUUGUUCAUUCGACCAACAUUUACAAGUAAGUCUCUAGCCAUUUUUUUAUAUAGAUUUUUUUAUCAUGAGAGCUUGAUUAAGCUAGCUUAUGUAUCAAUUUGUUCAAUUGGUGAAAUUUUGAUAAGUUACCAUUGUUGAGAAUUGAAUGAAUUAGGCUUGAAAUUGAUAGAAAUUAAGCUUAGGUUAUCGAAAUGACUAAAUUGCAAAACUUAAUUCUUAGCCUUUUACAUUAGGGGCAAAAUUGAAUAAAAUGAAUUUUUUAUAAAAUUAUGGUAGGAAUAGAAAGUAUAAGGUCCCUAAUGAAUACAUGUGAAAUCAAAUUUUAUUCCGAAGCUUUAAAUCGAAAGUUUUGCUUAUCUAAAGUUUAGGACUAAAUUGAAUAAAUUGUAGAAUAUGCAUGAUUUGGUAUUUGAUUGUGAAUUGGAUGAAAAUUGAUAGUGUUAUAUGUUUUGUGAUUGUACGUAGCUAACGUCAGCACUGUGCCUUCGAAAGGAAAAAGAAAAGUGAGAGUUGUCGACGAGUGACGCAAGCCUACAAUUUGUACUUUUAUGAUUCAGGAUCGUAUUAUUUGUUUGCAUAUACAUUGUUUAUUGAAUGAGGAAAUGUCAAGGUGAGUAUAUAAUGAAAAUGUGAAUUGUUGUGUUAGGCUUGAUAUGAAAUAUUGAGAUAGAAGACUAAAAUUAAUAAAAUGGAAAAUCGCAUGAAUUACUUUGAAAUGUGAUAUGUGACAUGGAAAAUUGAGUAGAAAUAUGUUAUAUGGAAUGAGACAUAAUGUGUAUUGAUAAUGAAUUGGAUUGUGACUAAGGUUGUGAUUGUGAAAUGAUAUAUGUAUUGAAUUUUAAAAUAAAAUUGAACGUUGGUACCUUAUUAACUAGUCUAGUUGAGCCAGAUAGUUAACAUGUCAUAGGAUUAGAUUGUCUAUGAGUUUGUGCACCUAUGCGCCAGGAUGCACCUCGUGUGCCAAGAUGCAUUUUAUGUUCCAGUAUGCACUUUGUGCAUCAAGAUGCACAUUGUUUGCCAGUAUGUGUUUUGUGCGCCAGGAAUGUGCUUCAUGUGCCAAUAUGCACUAUAUGUGUCAAUUUCGUUACUUCAGUUUAUUUGAUUAUGCACUUCGGUGCUAGUUUGGUGUGUUGCUUGGACGAUCUGUGUAUUCGUUUGAGUCCUAUUAAUAGGGAUUAUAAGUGGUAAACUUGGUAAAUGAUAUCAAAAUGAAAUGGUAUGAUGAUAUGGAACCACUUGUGUACUGAUGUAAAUCAAAAUGAAGAAUUAUGUAAAUGGUUAUGCAAAACAGUUGAAUACGAGCCUUGGGGGCCAAAGCAAAUGUGAAUGACUCAAUAGACUUCAGAAAAUUUUUAUACGAAUCGUGUCCUUGGUUCAAAUUUCAUUAUGGAUAAUUUUUUAUUGAUUUAUAAAGAUAUGAAAGAUGAAAACACCAUCACAAUCAUAUAUCUUACUUUAUAAAUAAAAUUAUUUUUUCGUAAUUUUCUUACUGAGUUGGGACCAAUUGAUGGGUAAAACCAACUCAGUAAAAGACUUAAAAAAUAGUAUAGAUAAAAAGGUUUUAAACUGAAUUUUUUAAAAGAAUUUAGGGUAAACGACACCAUUAAUCACUCAAGUAUGGGUAAGCUUUCGUUUUGGUCACUUAACUAAAAAAGAGUUACAAUUUGGUUACUAGUGUGUUUCAAAUUGUUUGUUUUUCUGUCACCUGACUAUUAAGUGGCACUUGUUUUAGUUGAUACAAUAAUAAUUUUAGUCCUCAAUUUUUAUAUUUUCUAUCAAAUUGACCUUGAUUUUGUAUAAAAUUAUAAAAAAAAACUAAAAAUAUUUAUAAAAUAAGAAAAUGUAUAUAAAAACUCUAAAAAAUAAAAUCUUGAAUAUGUUGUUGAAUAACUGAAUUGUAUUGAGAAAUAAAGAAAAUUAUCAUUUAAUAGAAUCCAAUAACAAAUUAAAAAUAGAACAAAUCUAUGUUUCUUAAAAUCAAAUUAGUACUAUUUUCAAGUUGAAUUACAUGCCCUAGAAGAAUAUCUAAAACUGAUAUUACAAAGGCUUAUGAAAUUGACCUCGAUGCCAUUUUUUUAAUCAAAAGAAUACAAAAUAUACCAUAAAAAAUUUCUUUUUCAAACUCAAUUCAAAUUUUCAUUAUAUUUAAAUUAUUUUUCAAAAUCAAAAUUAUAAAAAUAAAUUAUAUUCAGAAUUUUAUAGUUUCUUAUAAUGUAAAAGCUACGUCAAGAAAUAGAAGAGGUAAAAAAACAGAGACAUGUCAUUUUUCUUAAUUUUUUUAUAUAUAUAUUUUAAAGAAUGGGUAUUGGAUAUUUUUAUAAAAAUAAUAUAGAGAAAUUUUGAAGGGUUUAAAACAAUUAUCCUCAUUUUCUCUCACUUUAUUUAAUUUUAAAAAUUUUAUCUACUUUUAUUUAAUUUUUAAAUUUAUAAUGUUCUAAAAUUUUAAAAAUAAUUUACUAAUGGGGUGCGAAUAACUAUACCUAAUGCAACUCAUUAUUAAAUAUGCAUUCUUAUACCCUGCCGUCCCAACUCUUAUUAUUAUUAAAUAUUAUUUAAUGCCAACUUCAAUGAUGUCCAAGGUCUAUCACCAAAUUUCAAGGUAAUUUUCUUUCAUUUGCUUAAUCAAUCACAUGCUUUUCUUUGCUUGAUUCAUGAGUUUGCAGUGAUUGUUUCUGAUUAUCUGCUACUCUUAGCAGCUAGCUUUGUAAGACAGUCAACUUCACUGCGUCAUUUUCAGUUCUAUUCUCUCAACACUUUUCAGCCACUAAGUCAGGUAAUAAGAUCUGAAGCUAUGAUUUCCUCUACUCAUUAUCAACAGUUUUAGAUUUUAAGACAAGAUGAUCAGCAGACAUAAUCUACUCUAGAUUGCAAUUAACACAGAAAGAGCUACCCAGAAGCAAUAUAAUGUUGAAAUCUCAAACUGUUAACAUUUUAACUCUUAAUAUUCUGUAAUGAACUAUUGCACACUUGAAUCUAGCAUUUUAUAUACAUCGAGGGCUUAAUUCUGGUGACCAGAAUUUCAUCAUGUUUCUGUCUGCCACCCAUCCAUAGCUCCAUCUAAAAAACGCCAUUGCUUGAAACUUGCAUUCAUGUUUCCUUUUCAUGCUUACACAGACAUAUCAAUACUUCAUCCAAUACAUUCACAGAUUUUCAUUAUCUGCUACUGUUAUAUAUGAUUGCAUUGCAGGGACAUAGCAAUGGAGUACGUAGAGCCUGUUGUUGUCAUUGCAAAUUGUCUCGGAACACCUGUUUGUAAAUACUUGCAAUAUUACAGAAAGCUGAACGAUUAUGUGAGAAACUUCAAGAGGAUCAGAGAUGAAUUGAAUUGCAAAAUGGAAGAUAUAGAGCUGCAAUUGAAAGCAGAGCUUCUUCGUCCUCUGGGGAAGAUACCGAAGAAGGAAGUUGAAAAUUGGUUGAAAGAUGUGAAAGAGAUGAUUAGGGAAGCACAAGUUGUUGAAAACAAAGUCAGUAACGGGAGAUAUCUCUGUCGUGCUUGCAACGGGAAGCUGGUUGAUGAAAAGACUCGAGAAAUGAAGGAAUUUCUUGAUAAAGCUCCUAAUGCCUCUGAAGGUCUUGCCAUAGAUGGUCCAAGCGGUGGGUUGCCGCUGCCAACAUCAGAACUAGUUGGAGAGGAAGCUGUCAGAAAUGAGAUUUGGGCAUGUUUGAUGCAGGAGGAGGUGAGCAAGAUUGGAGUUUGGGGGAUGGGCGGUGUGGGUAAAACCACUAUCAUGAAGCACAUUCACAAUGAUCUUUUGAAAGAACAAAGAUUCAAAAGGGUAAUCUGGGUUACCAUAUCAAAGGAGUUCAAUGUAAUGAAGGUACAAGAUAAUAUUGCAAGUGCGUUGGAGUCAAAGGAGUAUUUAGACAAAGAAGAGGACAAGCUCAGACGAGCUGCAAUCUUGUCAGAAAUGCUAAAGAACGCAGGAAAGCAUGUUCUAAUCCUAGAUGAUGCGUGGGAUAAAGUCUCUCUAGAGGAAGUUGGGAUCCCUGAGCCGAGUGGCAGCAAUGGCUGCAAGUUGGUGUUGACAGCCCGUUCGGAGCAUGUCUGUAAGUAUAUGGGUUGUAAGGUGAUAAAAGUGAAGCCCCUUUCAGAAGAAAAGGCAUUGAUACUAUUCUUGAAUAAAGUUGGACCUAACAUAGUUCAAAGUCCAACUAUAAUGCCUACGUUGAAGCUUGUUGUCAAGGAAUGUUCGGGUCUACCUCUUACAAUUGUCGUGGUAGCUGGUACCAUGAAAGGAGAAGAUAACCCCCGUAUUUGUAAAAAUGCAGGGGAAUUGAAAGAGGAAUAGGGAAAGUGGAAGGAGUGGAAGCUGAGGUAAUCGAGCGCUUGAAAUUUAGCUUCGAUCACUUAAAGGACGAGAAAGUGAAAUAUUGUUUCUUACAUUGCGCAUUAUAUCCCGAAGAUUUUGGAAUUGAAAAGGAUGAACUAAUUGAGUGCUGGAUUGAGGAGGGAUUCAUAGAUGAUAUGGGUACAAGACAAGAAAUGAAAGACAAGGGCCAUGUUAUUUUGAAGAAGUUAGAAGAUAAUUGCUUGUUGGAAAAUGUCUGGAGUGAAGAAAUGAUAAUGCAUGAUGCAGUGAGAGACAUGGCAUUGUCGAUCACAAGAAUGAAUCCUCGAUAUAUGAUACAAGCAGGUUUGCAAUUAGAAGAGUUACCAGAAAAGGAGCAAUGGAGUCCGGAUAUUGAGAAAGUGUCACUUAUGUGUAACUCCAUAUCAGAAUUUCCAUAGAUGUGCUGCUCACAAAAUGUCAACUGCUCACAACCUAGUUAUUGAAGGAGAACCCUAUAAAGAAGAUCUCAAUUUCUUUCUUCACAAACAUGCCUUGUCUUAGUGUUCUGAAUUUGUCCUCUACGAAGAUCAAAAGUUUACCAAAUUCCAUUUCUGUACUAAAGAACCUCACAACAUUGUUGCUUUGUUAUUGUGAAGAAUUAAGAGAUCUACCAUGUCUUUCGAUGCUUCAAGAAUUGAAGAAGUUGGAUCUAAGUUGGACUAAUAUUGAGGAAGUACCAGAAGGCAUGGAUAUGCUGAUAAAGAUAAGAUAUCUUGGUCUUCAAGUGUUCACUCCGAAAGAGAUACCCGCUGGACUUUUACCAAAACUCGUUCACCUUCAGCACUUGAGUUUUGAUGUGGACAAUGAAAAAACAAGUCUAAAAGCAGAGGAGAUGGAACCAUUGAAGAAGUUGGAGUGCUUAACCGGACGUUUUGAAGACAUCGGUGAAUUGAAUAAGUUCAUCUCCUCAAUGCA